rnacentral:rRNA from 1 species
GACGAACGCUGGCGGCGUGCUUAACACAUGCAAGUCGAACGAAGUGGCGAACGGGUGAGUAACGCGUAAUCAACCUGCCCUUCAGAGGGGGACAACAGUUGGAAACGACUGCUAAUACCGCAUACUGAAGGCGGGGAUUGCGUCUGAUUAGCUAGUUGGAGGGGUAACGGCCCACCAAGGCGAUGAGCAGUAGGCGGUCUGAGGAGGAUGACGGCCACAGUGGGACCGGGGCAAGGCCCAAACUCCUUCGGGAGGCAACAGUGGGGAAACUUCCGCAAUGGACGAAAGGCUGGAGGAGCAAAGCCGGGUGGGUGAUGAAGGCCUUCGGGUUGUAAAGCUCUGUUAAUCGGGAAGCGGUACCGGAAGAGGAAGCCACGGCUAACUACGUGCCAGCAGCCGCGGUAAUUC